GUACAAAGUACAAGCCCACAGAGCUACUUGUCAUGGAGGUUAAUGCUCGAGGAAUGAGUAGGCAUUUUACUCCUUAUGGUGAGAGGUCUUUGAUCGCCUUUUCUUCUCACUUGGGAUAGAUAGGGAUCUCUGAUUUCUUUCCAGCUAUUGUUAUUUCUUUCCUUUCAUAAACGGAUAAGUAACUAAACAAAAACAUUUCAAGAACCGAG
rnacentral:misc_RNA from 1 species